rnacentral:rRNA from 1 species
GGGUUGUGAGGUUAAGCGACUAAGCGUACACGGUGGAUGCCCUGGCAGUCAGAGGCGAUGAAGGACGUGCUAAUCUGCGAUAAGCGCCGGUAAGGUGAUAUGAACCGUUAUAACCGGCGAUUUCCGAAUGGGGAAACCCAGUGUGACUCGUCACACUAUCAUUAACUGAAUCCAUAGGUUAAUGAGGCGAACCGGGGGAACUGAAACAUCUAAGUACCCCGAGGAAAAGAAAUCAACCGAGAUUCCCCCAGUAGCGGCGAGCGAACGGGGAGGAGCCCAGAGCCUGAAUCAGCAUGUGUGUUAGUGGAAGCGUCUGGAAAGGCGCGCGAUACAGGGUGACAGCCCCGUACACAAAAGCGCAUAUGCUGUGAGCUCGAUGAGUAGGGCGGGACACGUGGUAUCCUGUCUGAAUAUGGGGGGACCAUCCUCCAAGGCUAAAUACUCCUGACUGACCGAUAGUGAACCAGUACCGUGAGGGAAAGGCGAAAAGAACCCCGGCGAGGGGAGUGAAAAAGAACCUGAAACCGUGUACGUACAAGCAGUGGGAGCCCCACCACUAAGCCAGUGGUGAACUCCACAUACGCAUCCUUUGCUGAGGAUACGGUUAACGGAGCGAAAGCGACGUUCAACCUCAAAAGAAGCAGAGGGGGCUUAGUGGUGGGGUGACUGCGUACCUUUUGUAUAAUGGGUCAGCGACUUAUAUUCUGUAGCAAGGUUAACCGUAUAGGGGAGCCGGAGGGAAACCGAGUCUUAACCGGGCGUUAAGUUGCAGGGUAUAGACCCGAAACCCGGUGAUCUAGCCAUGGGCAGGUUGAAGGUUGGGUAACACUAACUGGAGGACCGAACCGACUAAUGUUGAAAAAUUAGCGGAUGACCUGUGGCUGGGGGUGAAAGGCCAAUCAAACCGGGAGAUAGCUGGUUCUCCCCGAAAGCUAUUUAGGUAGCGCCUCGUGAAUUCAUCUCCGGGGGUAGAGCACUGUUUCGGCUAGGGGGCCAUCCCGGCUUACCAACCCGAUGCAAACUGCGAAUACCGGAGAAUGUUAUCACGGGAGACACACGGCGGGUGCUAACGUCCGUCGUGAAGAGGGAAACAACCCAGACCGCCAGCUAAGGUCCCAAAGUCAUGGUUAAGUGGGAAACGAUGUGGGAAGGCCCAGACAGCCAGGAUGUUGGCUUAGAAGCAGCCAUCAUUUAAAGAAAGCGUAAUAGCUCACUGGUCGAGUCGGCCUGCGCGGAAGAUGUAACGGGGCUAAACCAU